UGUGAGCCAGCGUCUGGGGAGAAGAGGCCAUUUCCGGUGGCAUCUGGAGCAAAUAACAUAAAUCAGCACUUUCUUGCAUUAGGAAGUGGAAGACUAAUGACCGAAGCUUUAAGAACUGGGCAAAUAGGGAAACAAACUGAUGGUAAACUGAGGGAGAGCAGAAAUGACAUAAGUCACCUCGAUGGGUCAGCACAGGAUGGAGCACAGCUGAGUGCAGGCGGGCAUUUUCACGGCCCUCUGCGGGGGAAGUCAGACAGGGCACACUGGCCUCACUGUCAUCUUUACACCAUUUUGCUUGUUUCUAGAAGCUACUUAAUGCACAGGGUGCAAAAGUUCAAAAGGUGUAUGAGAAAGUCAACUUCCAUUUUUAUUGAAGGCUCUGGAAAAAAUACAAACGCCACUUAGAACCAGUGGUAAACUGCAAAAAAUCUGGUAAAUCAUCCAGACUGUCGCAAGCACUCAGAUGUUUGAAAUGCUGUAGAAAACUCGAGAGUCACAACAGCCUAUGAAAAGAGAGAUCCUGCUAAGAACAGUGCAAUGGAAGUAAACAACCUUGGUUCAGAGGAGGCUGCUGUUGAGAAGUUGAGGGUGGAGGUGGGGGUAUGGAGCAAACUUGGUGAAAUCUGGUGGGAGGAAGCACCAAGCAGAGAGAAGAACAAGGAAACAAAUUGACUGGGCUGGAGAGAACAAGGGAGAAAGACACAGGAGAUGGACUUUCUUCACACAGAGAAGAGAGAGGCAGAUGGUGACGGAGUCCUUGGGCCUAGAAAAGAAAACAGCGGUCUCCAAGGCCCUUGCUGAAUCAUCUGACUUUGGGGAAAACAAAACCGAACUUUAAGUCCCGCCCUGAUGCUCUGGGACUUACCGUCCCCUGCCCAGGGGACUUAUCGCCCCCUGCCCAAAACCUCCCACCCCCUGUUCAACUACAAAUGCCAUCUCAGCUGAAGAUUACUGAAAACGUCCUGCCUGCCUAACAUUUCCCUCAUCGCUUCCACAAACCUCCCUUUAAAUAUGAAGCCUCCCUGAUCCGUCUUACACGCAGCCUGGUCGUUAGGCCGACUGUCACCCCUCCUUGCCUGAAUAAAGGUAACCUACUUUUCUUGA